AGGGAGUUGUUUAUUAUUUUUUUUAAUUUGCUGGUUUUAAUAGGAAUAACUUUUUUUAUAGUAAUUUUUAUUGAAUUAAUUUUUUGUUUGAUAGUUUAUGUGUACCGUAAGGGGUUAUUUUAUUUGUUUAAAAGUAGUUUUUAUUUGAUGUACCUUUUGUAUCAGGGUUGAUUAAAUUAUUUUAUUUAUUUAAUUUUCCCGAAGUUAGGGGAGAUAUAAUCAUGUUUUAAUUAAUGUUUCAUAAUUAUUAGUAAUAUGAUUAUUGUAAUGAUAAGUUAUUCGUUCUUGAAUAUCUGGUUUUCUAAGAUUUGAAUUUAAUUCAGGAUUAUUAAUUUAAGGCUAUACUUGAAUUUAUUUAAUGAUCUAAGACUUUCGGGGAUAAGCUCGGUAGUAUUAAUAUAACUUUAUUAUUUGUUUUAGUUCAGUAGGCUUAGAAUCGGCCAUCUAUAAUUUCGUUAUAGAUUAUCUUUAAUUUUUUUUUAUUUUUUGAAGUUUAAUUUUUUAUUAGAAUAAUAAUUUAAUUUGUCUUGUUAUGGGAAAAUGAUUAAAUUAGUAUAUUUGUAUAAUAAGAUAUAGUAAUUCGGCAAAUAUUAUAUUCGCCUGUUUAACAAAAACAUGUCCUUUUGUUUAUUUUAUUUAAGGUUUAACCUGCCCCAUGAAUUUUUUAAUGGCCGCGGUAUUUUAACUGUGCUAAGGUAGCAUAAUCAUUUGUCUUUUAAUUGGAGGCUUGAAUGAAGGGUUGGACGAGAUAUAAUCUUUCUUUAUUUUAAAAAUUAAAAUUUAUCUUUUUAGUUAAAAGACUAAAAUUUAAUUAAGGGACGAGAAGACCCUAUAGAUCUUUAUAAAUUUAUAUUUUAAGAUAUUUAGUAAAUUAUAUUUUUGAUGUAUAUAUUUUAUUUGAUUGGGGUGAUUUCAGAGCAAAAAUAACUUCUGUUUUUUAUUUCAUUAAUUUAUGAAAUUAUGAUCCAUUUAUAUUGAUUAUAAGAUUAAGUUACCUUAGGGAUAACAGCGUAAUUUUUACGGAGAGUUCAUAUCGAUGUAGGAGUUUGCGACCUCGAUGUUGGAUUAAAAUAAGUAUUAGGCGUAGUCGUUUAAUAACUAGGUCUGUUCGACCUUUAAUUUUUUACAUGAUCUGAGUUCAGACCGGCGUAAGCCAGGUCAGUUUCUAUCUUUAAUUAUAUUAUAUUUUAGUACGAAAGGACCAAAUAUAAGGAAUAUUUUCUUAAUUUGAUUAAUAUU
rnacentral:rRNA from 1 species